GACGAACGCUGGCGGCGUGCUUAACACAUGCAAGUCGAACGGAAAGGCCCUGCUUUUGUGGGGUGCUCGAGUGGCGAACGGGUGAGUAACACGUGAGUAACCUGCCCUUGACUUUGGGAUAACCUCAGGAAACUGGGGCUAAUACCGGAUAGGAGCUCUUGCUGCAUGGUGGGGGUUGGAAAGUUUCGGCGGUUGGGGAUGGAAUCGCGGAUUAUCAGCUUGUUGGUGGGGUAGUGGCUUACCAAGGCUUUGACGGGUAGCCGGCCUGAGAGGGUGACCGGCCAAGUUGGGACUGAGAUACGGCCCGGACUCCUACGGGAGGGAACAGUGGGGAAUAGUGCACUAUAGGCGGAAGCCUGAUGCAGCAACGCCGCGUGGGGGAUGACGGCCUGCGGGUUGGAAACCGCUUUCGCCUGUGACGAAGCGUGAGUGACGGUAAUGGGUAAAGAAGCACUGGCUAACUACGUG
rnacentral:rRNA from 1 species